rnacentral:lncRNA from 1 species
GCUCGACUCGAGUUCAUCUGUGAAUUUCAUAGAAACUCUUUUCUAGUAUUCACACUUACUCUGGUCAGAGAUUUUCUAAACUCAGUCUUGCAAAUCGCAUAGGACUUCUCUUUUUCUAUCAAGGUCGAUAGAUUCCAUCUAGGUGCAUCCUACUCUAAAUAGUAAAUCUGAACCUACAAUAGCCAACAUACACAAAAAGGACCCGAAUGGCUAGGGACCAAAGAAUGUACAAUCAAACUAUGUAGCUUCGCUGUGAAUAGUCAAUACACCGUAGGUCAAAAGACCAGUCACACCAUUGC